rnacentral:rRNA from 1 species
AGUGGGGAAUAUUGGACAAUGGGCGCAAGCCUGAUCCAGCAAUGCCGCGUGUGUGAAGAAGGCCUUCGGGUUGUAAAGCACUUUCAGUGGGGAAGAAAGGCUCAAGAUUAAUACUCUUGAGAGUUGACGUUACCCACAGAAGAAGCACUGGCUAACUCUGUGCCAGCAGCCGCGGUAAUACAGAGAGUGCAAGCGUUAAUCGGAAUUACUGGGCGUAAAGCGCACGUAGGUGGGUAUUUAAGUCGGAUGUGAAAGCCCUAGGCUUAACCUGGGAAUUGCAUUCGAUACUGGGUACCUAGAGUAUGGUAGAGGGAAGUGGAAUUUCCGGUGUAGCGGUGAAAUGCGUAGAUAUCGGAAGGAACACCAGUGGCGAAGGCGGCUUCCUGGACCAAUACUGACACUGAGGUGCGAAAGCGUGGGGAGCAAA